rnacentral:rRNA from 1 species
GGCUGAACGCUGGCGGCGUGCCUACUACAUGCAAGUCGAGCGAACAGACGAGGAGCUUGCUCCUCUGACGUUAGCGGCGGACGGGUGAGUAACACGUGGAUAACCUACCUAUAAGACUGGGAUAACUUCGGGAAACCGGAGCUAAUACCGGAUAAUAUAUUGAACCGCAUGGUUCAAUAGUGAAAGACGGUUUUGCUGUCACUUAUAGAUGGAUCCGCGCCGCAUUAGCUAGUUGGUAAGGUAACGGCUUACCAAGGCAACGAUGCGUAGCCGACCUGAGAGGGUGAUCGGCCACACUGGAACUGAGACACGGUCCAGACUCCUACGGGAGGCAGCAGUAGGGAAUCUUCCGCAAUGGGCGAAAGCCUGACGGAGCAACGCCGCGUGAGUGAUGAAGGUCUUCGGAUCGUAAAACUCUGUUAUUAGGGAAGAACAAAUGUGUAAGUAACUAUGCACGUCUUGACGGUACCUAAUCAGAAAGCCACGGCUAACUACGUG